GGGUGCGAUCAUACCAGCACUAAUGCACCGGAUCCCAUCAUAACUCCGAAGUUAAGCGUGCUUGGGCGAGAGUAGUACUAGGAUGGGUGACCUCUUGGGAAAUCCUCGUGUUGCACCCCCUU
rnacentral:rRNA from 1 species